GGCAAAUGGAGGCUUUUCUUUGUCCUGGAUCUUUUCCUUACAGGGGGACAUAAAAACCUGAUGGUAAAAUAAGUGAUGUGAUGAUGCUAUUGAAAUCUAAGACUGCCCCUUAAAUUUUUUUUAAAAUUUAAAAAUAAAAGCUUAAAGGA